ACCAGCGCAGCGCCUCCCCAGAUCUGGCGCCCUAGGCGAACAUCUAUAACGCCAGUGCUACGGGCCGGCCCUGGACGGGGGCCACAACAUAGAGGGGAAAGUACCGGAUGGGUUGCUCUCAUCAAUAGUCCAGGAAAGUCGUCCAGCAGCACAGAGAACAGAGCUAAAUCAAAAGUGAAGCCAAACCAUGCAGUUAAAGUGAGGCUCAAAUGACCCUCUGACAUAUCCCCAAGUGCCCCGGUCAUGUCUGCUGCCUCCCCAGGGGCCGUGCUCCGGACUCCAUGGAACCAGCGUGUUUAAGCAGCCAGGUCCAGUGGAGGCUCUGAAACAGAUGCUGUUCAGACUGCAGGCGGUGGAGGCGGAGCUUCAGAGACAACCACAGGCUCCAGCUGCUGCAACACCUGCUGACAGGCUGCACACAGAGGAGGCUCCACUGAAGCAGUCCCUGAACAUACCUCAGGGCUCUGCUGUCAACAUUCAGCUGUGCUGUGAGGAACAAAGCUAACUCGUGGAGAGAAAAAUACCUGAGACGUCUGUAGGAGGAGACUUAAGAAGACCAAAUUCACCUGCCAAGUUCAUGUUAACUUUUACAGAGGUACAAUCAAUCCGUGCUCUCUGGAAAUGUUCUUCAGAGAAUCAAACUAAGCACCUAUUUAACAGCUGAUUGGGAAUAAAAGCGGUCAGAACAGAAGUUUGUGUCUGACAAAAUGCAAUAUUGAAACAGCUUCAAUGUCCACUUGCUGUCAUGGUGACACAAGCAACUUGUUUAGAUUUAGCUUUGCAAUUUUGUUGCAUCAAGCCUAAUUAAGAUAACUGCAACUGCAGUUUGUGCUUUAGAAUCAUUAGAACAGGGGUCGGGAACCUUUUUCCUAUCAAGGGCUAUUUACAUUUUUACAACAUCCUUCAAGGGCCAUUCUAAUUGUUGAACUUAUAACCUCUGCUAAAGUGAAGACAGAUAACACAUUAAACUCAGAGGAAUCACUCCUGAGUUUAUAAGGGCCCGAGCACGGAGCGCUAGGACCCGACGGCGUCCUAGCACGAAGUGCGAGGAACCUAUUGUUAU